rnacentral:lncRNA from 1 species
GUCGUUGGGAUCGAAAUUGUUUCAGGAACCGAGCUGAUGAAGUCGCCGACGAGAUUGGUGGGUUGGCUGUACCGAUUGGAGAGGUUAGCUUGAAGGUUGCUGCAUGUCUUCGAGGCAAAGAGGAUGUUCGGAUGGUGGCUUUGAGUCAUGCUUUGACCUGAAAAAAAAUCUUCUUGCUGGAAAAUGUCUAGCAAGAGAACCCUCCGAUGCCAAAUCAGACAAAACUCUUAGUGGACGGCAAAAGUAUUGUAAGAAUGAUAGAAUAACGGCAUAAGGGAAUGAAAAGAAAUAGAAGCAACACUUAUCUGGAGGGUCUCUUAGGAGUAGUUUAUAUAGACGAGGGACAGUGCCCAUCGCCAAGACAUCAUGCACAUGCAUUAGCCAUGUUUGAUAAUAGGUCUUGUGUCCUGAAGAUUAUGCUCGGGCUGCGCAUCUCGCCUACACGUUUCGCACAUGCAUCUCAUAUGCACGGAUCACUCAUUUAUCAUGCAAUUAUGAG